rnacentral:rRNA from 1 species
UACGGGGGGGGCAAGCGUUGUUCGGAAUUACUGGGCGUAAAGGGCGCGUAGGCGGCCUGCUAAGUCGAACGUGAAAUCCCUGGGCUCAACCCAGGAACUGCGUCCGAUACUGGUUGGCUUGAAUCCGGGAGAGGGACGUGGAAUUCCAGGUGUAGCGGUGAAAUGCGUAGAUAUCGGGAGGAAUACCAGUGGCGAAGGCGGCCUUCUGGACGGAUACUGACGCUGAGGCGCGAAAGCCAGGGGAGCAAACGGG